CACACUGCUGUGGAGUUCAGAGGCCGGUAGUGAGAUUUAUUUUUGUUUGUAUGAGUAAAAAGCUGCAGAAGCCUAUGGUGGGGUGAGGGGGGCGCAAUUGGAAUGCUGAGAUUCAGACCGCCCGCUGUUGGCCUGGAGUCAAGUGGGCUGACCCGGAAGGGAUUGAACUCACGACCUCACGCUUACCACGCAAGCACUUGAACCGCUGAGCUAAAUCCCUGGCUCUGAUUGAGUUUAAUGGAUAAAGGUUGUUCUGAAAAAUAUGAAGAAAUGUUCCUUUUCCUAUGGGGAGGAAGUAGCAGAGCCAAGCAUGACAUCUCUAGCUUGCUUCAAGUAGCAGUGUAAGCCAACAGCCUGACCAUUCUGAAAGAGAAGAGAGGAUACUGUGGAUGCUGCUGGACGCAGUGAGGUACUAAUGGCCUAAGGAUAUCUCUUAUGGAAAAACCUGCAGAGGUGUCUUGUUUGCUCCUCCAUCACCUGCCUCAGCUUUCCAGUGUGGAUGAGAGAACAGACCAAGGUUUCAUUUGGAGAGUCUGGAAUCCUAGGCUCAGCUAUAUCCCUGGAACCACCUCUGUCCUGGAAGCUGAGUCCUGUGUCAUCAGGGGUGGGGUGGGUUCUCCAGCUAUCCUAAUAAAGCCAGUCCAAGACUC